rnacentral:rRNA from 1 species
GGGAGCUCUCCCAUAUGGUCGACCUGCAGGCGGCCGCGAAUUCACUAGUGAUUCGUAUUACCGCGGCUGCUGGCACGAAGUUAGCCGGGGCUUAUUCUUGCGGUACCGUCAUUAUCUUCCCGCACAAAAGAGCUUUACAACCCUAGGGCCUUCAUCACUCACGCGGCAUGGCUGGAUCAGGGUUGCCCCCAUUGUCCAAUAUUCCCCACUGCUGCCUCCCGUAGGAGUUUGGGCCGUGUCUCAGUCCCAAUGUGGCUGAUCAUCCUCUCAGACCAGCUACUGAUCGUCGCCUUGGUGAGCCAUUACCUCACCAACUAGCUAAUCAGACGCGGGCCGAUCUUUCGGCGAUAAAUCUUUCCCCGUAAGGGCUUAUCCGGUAUUAGCACAAGUUUCCCUGUGUUGUUCCGAACCAAAAGGUAAAUCGAAUUCCCGCGGCCGCCAUGGCGGCCGGGAGCAUGCGAC